rnacentral:rRNA from 1 species
UACGUAGGGUGCGAGCGUUAAUCGGAAUUACUGGGCGUAAAGUGUGCGCAGGCGGUUGAGCAAGUCGAGUGUGAAAGCCCCGGGCUUAACUUGGGAAUUGCGCUCGAAACUACUUGACUGGAGUGUGACAGAGGAAGGUGGAAUUCCACGUGUAGCGGUGAAAUGCGUAGAGAUGUGGAGGAACACCAAUGGCGAAGGCAGCCUUCUGGGCCAACACUGACGCUCAUGCACGAAAGCGUGGGGAGCAAACAGG